GAUGAACGCUGGCGGCGUGCCUAAUACAUGCAAGUCGAGCGAACGGACGAGAAGCUUGCUUCUCUGAUGUUAGCGGCGGACGGGUGAGUAACACGUGGAUAACCUACCUAUAAGACUGGGAUAACUUCGGGAAACCGGAGCUAAUACCGGAUAAUAUUUUGAACCGCAUGGUUCAAAAGUGAAAGACGGUCUUGCUGUCACUUAUAGAUGGAUCCGCGCUGCAUUAGCUAGUUGGUAAGGUAACGGCUUACCAAGGCAACGAUGCAUAGCCGACCUGAGAGGGUGAGCGGCCACACUGGAACUGAGACACGGUCCAGACUCCUACGGGAGGCAGCAGUAGGGAAUCUUCCGCAAUGGGCGAAAGCCUGACGGAGCAACGCCGCGUGAGUGAUGAAGGUCUUCGGAUCGUAAAACUCUGUUAUUAGGGAAGAACAGAUGUGUAAGUAACUGUGCACAUCUUGACGGUACCUAAUCAGAAAGCCACGGCUAACUACGUG
rnacentral:rRNA from 1 species